rnacentral:rRNA from 1 species
AGUGAACGCUGGCGGCAGGCCUAACACAUGCAAGUCGAGCGGCAGCGCGUCCGACCACCCUCGGGUGGUCGGAUGGCGGCGAGCGGCGGACGGGUGAGGAAUGCAUCGGAAUCUGCCUCGUUGUGGGGGAUAACGUAGGGAAACUUACGCUAAUACCGCAUACGACCUACGGGUGAAAGUGGGGGGACCUUCGGGCCUCACGCGAUGAGAUGAGCCGAUGCCGGAUUAGCUAGUUGGCGGGGUAAAGGCCCACCAAGGCGACGAUCCGUAGCUGGUCUGAGAGGAUGAUCAGCCACACUGGAACUGAGACACGGUCCAGACUCCUACGGGAGGCGAGCAGUGGGGAAUAUUGGACAAUGGGGGCAACCCUGAUCCAGCCAUGCCGCGUGCAGGAAGAAGGCCUCCGGGUCGUAAACUGCUUUUAUCAGGGAAUAAUAAUAUGCUAUAGGCAUAGAUGUAGGUACCUGAAGAAUAGCACCGGCUAACUACGU